rnacentral:rRNA from 1 species
AUGAACGCUGGCGGCGUGCCUAAUACAUGCAAGUCGAGCGAACAGACGAGGAGCUUGCUCCUCUGACGUUAGCGGCGGACGGGUGAGUAACACGUGGAUAACCUACCUAUAAGACUGGGAUAACUUCGGGAAACCGGAGCUAAUACCGGAUAAUAUAUUGAACCGCAUGGUUCAAUAGUGAAAGACGGUUUUGCUGUCACUUAUAGAUGGAUCCGCGCCGCAUUAGCUAGUUGGUAAGGUAACGGCUUACCAAGGCAACGAUGCGUAGCCGACCUGAGAGGGUGAUCGACCACACUGGAACUGAGACACGGUCCAGACUCCUACGGGAGGCAGCAGUAGGGAAUCUUCCGCAAUGGGCGAAAGCCUGAUGGAGCAACGCCGCGUGAGUGAUGAAGGUCUUCGGAUCGUAAAACUCUGUUAUUAGGGAAGAACAAAUGUGUAAGUAACUAUGCACGUCUUGACGGUACCUAAUCAGAAAGCCACGGCUAACUACGUG